rnacentral:lncRNA from 1 species
CUCUUUGGCUCGCCCUCCUUCCGCCCGGCGGGUGCGGGCGCUUUCUGCCGUCUGUGCGCCUGCUUCGUGGGGUGAGCCCUAAUGGCCUCACACCCGUCUGAUAUAGGAAAUUGAAAGGCGAGAAAGUCUAGCCCUGGUUAGGAAGUCCUAUCCAUCUGUAUUACCCUGGCUUUAGGGGAAUCUGAGACCCAGAGAGGUUGAGAAACGAAUCAAGAUCAUACAGCUGAUAAGGGACUGAGCCAGGAUUGGAACCCAACUGUUUUGUAACUCCAGAUCUUAGAACUUUCAGCCACUGACCAGACACUCUCAAUUACAGUGAAGAAACAGGGUAGCUGAGUCAGGGAAACAAGGAAGUACAAAGAUGGCAAGAACAGACUUGGCGUUUGGGAUUGGCUAGUGUCCUCUGCUGACUUCUGAGAAGAGCUGUAAAUUCCUGCAACUUAUGUUAGGUACCCAGGUGGUUGAAAAGGACACAGUAUCUUUGUAGAAGAAACUUCUAAAGCUGCUCCAGUUAACAAUAAAGAAGAAAUGAUGGAAUCAAAAUAUCACCACUCUGCAAGUCCUAACAAAUCAAUGGAUAUAGGACUGCUGAACAGCAAAGGGAGAUCAGACAUCCUGUGCCACCUUCUAUUAGGAGUAUUUUCCAGAAAAUUGAACCUAAGUCUGAUCAAACUUCUAGAUCUAACCACCAAUAUACAGAAGCUACAGCGGACAGAGGAAUACAUUAAAUGACACCACAGAGGUACAAUUAUUAAAAUUCAGGCUAGGAAAUGCUACUGGACAAACAACCCAUUUCCUUCAAUAAUUAUAAGAGAAAAGUGUGACAGAGGGGGAGUCUAUGAUUAAGAAAGGUCUAAAGACCUAUCACCACCAACUGCAAUUUAUGGCCUUAUUUUGAUCCUGAGUCUAACAAAUAAACUAAAUAAUCAUGAGACAAUUGGGGAAUUUUCAACAGUGACUAUACAUUUAAUUAUAUCAAGAAAUUGUUGUUAAUUUUUAAGAUAUGAUAUUGGUAUUUCCUUUGUAAAGAAAUAAAUACUGAAAUUCUUACAGAUAAAAAAAUAACAAUCCUUCCCCUAAAUAAAUACAACACAAUUCCAUUUAUUACUCAACAGUUUUCUUUUUGGGGGGUGGAGGGAGUUGGGUAAAAUUAUUUUAAAAGCCAUAUGGAACUAUAAAAUGCCAGAAUAACAAAGAAAAGUAUGAAGAAGAUAAAUAAUGAGAGACAUACCUUCAACUGAAAGCCACUGUAAUAAAAAUCACUGUAAUACAACCAACGUGGUAUUGGCACAAGAGUAGACAAAUCAGUGGAACAGAAGAGCGGAUCCAAAAAUAGAUCUCAGUAUACAUCAUAAUUUAAUAUGUGACAAAGGUAGUGUUUCAAUUCUGUGGGAAAGAAUGGUUUGUUUAAUAAAUAGUGCUGGC